rnacentral:rRNA from 1 species
UACGUAGGUGGCAAGCGUUAUCCGGAUUUAUUGGGCCUAAAGGGAACGCAGGCGGUCUUUUAAGUCUGAUGUGAAAGCCUUCGGCUUAACCGGAGUAGUGCAUUGGAAACUGGGAGACUUGAGUGCAGAAGAGGAGAGUGGAACUCCAUGUGUAGCGGUGAAAUGCGUAGAUAUAUGGAAGAACACCAGUGGCGAAAGCGGCUCUCUGGUCUGUAACUGACGCUGAGGUUCGAAAGCGUGGGUAGCAAACAGG